GUCCAGGAACCCCUGGGCUGUGAGUUUAGAACUCUGGCUAAGUAGGGGAGACUCCAACUUCCUGAGGGGGGCAGUCUGGCUGUGUAGUUCUAAAGGAUCACUUCAUUUUAGGGAUGGGGAAACUGAGGCCAGAAAGGAGAUAUAACUUGAGCAAGUCCUCAGGCAAAUGAUUUAGCUUCUCUGAGGGAUUAUGGACCUGCCCCCCCAUCCUGGUUUUGAGACUAAAGAGAACUAGGGUGUGUGCCCCCCAACCCUAGGUUUUGCAGACUGUAGCAAAAUACAAGAUAUAUAGGAAAAAAUAUUAUCUGGGUUAGACCUGAAACCUAAGUUGCAUUGGUUAGUGGUUAAAAAAAAAAAAAAAAAAAAAAAAAAAAAGGUUCUGGAUCCAGAUCUUGAUUCAGAUCCCACUUAUUACCAGCUGUUUGACCUUCGGUGCGUUGUGUAACCUUGAUAAUGCUAUUUUCUCAUCUGAGCAGUUGCAGAAGUUAAAUGAGACAGUGCACAGAAAGCAAGCCCUUAGCAUUGUGCCUGGCAUUAUGAAGUGCUUGACAAAAUGGCACCUCUAUUAUUAUGACUUGACCUUGGCUUGGAAAUGUCUGGCAUCCAGGUAGGGCCUGUUGUGGCAUCCUUAUAACCCAGUUCCCAGGCACCCACACUGUACCCCAUGAUGUUGUUCUGAGGGCUGGAUUUAGGGGGUAGGUGGGGUUAGGAUGAAAAGCAGUGUGGGGGAAGGCCUUGGAGUCUGUUUUCCUUGCUGUGGAAAGGAGAAACUGACAUGGAGAAUGAGGUCGCCAGGUCCUGAGCCCCAGCCCGACCUGGCCAGUCUGGGCAGUGGCAGCUCCCUGCCUCAGACAUCCCUCAUCUUCGCCACCCUCCUCCAUUUCUGACUCAGCAGGAAAGGGGCCUGUAGCACUGUCCCACAUCUGGGCCUCUCUCCAUUCCUCUCUGCUGCUGUUAGUAAACAGGGGCCACACCCGUGGGGUGCCUGCUCCAGUUUGAGCAGAGAUGCCUCUGAUGAUCUAGUCUUAAGUGGCAAAAGUCCCAGCCAGGCGUCAUGCACAGGAGAGGGACCCCGAGGAGCAGCUGGGCAGCAUGGUGGGGGUGGGACUCUGGGAAGAGAAUGAUAAGACAGAGCAGGAUGGCCAGACCCGUCCUGACCCGUGUCUGGGGAGACAAAUCCCCUUCUCUGUCCAGUAGGGACCCUAAAUCCUGACUUAACUUCUGGGGGUUAAGAGCACAGGCUGUGGAAUUAGGUUGGCCUGGGUUUCAAUCCCAGCUGGGCCAUUUGCCAGCUGUGAGACUUGGGGGGACGUGUUUGAUGAGUCAGAUGAGAUAAUGGAUCUAAAAUGUUUUCUUUUUGCCAAAAAACUAAAAGUAAAAGCUAGAUAAAUAUAAGGGGGUCAUUUUAGACCAAUGCUUCUUGAAGUGUAUUCUGCAGGAAGUUGUUUUCCGGGAAUGUUAACAAUUAUUCCUUUGAAAAAGAAAAGAAAUUAAAAAAAAAAAAUUUGCAGUCGAUAUGUUUUGGGAAAGCAGAAUUGAAGAAUAAAAUAAAUUUCUUUAAGGUUAAA